rnacentral:siRNA from 1 species
CAGAGUAACUUAAUUCAGGUCUA